GACGGAGGAUGCAAGCGUUAUCCGGAAUGAUUGGGCGUAAAGCGUCCGCAGGUGGCAGUUCAAGUCUGCUGUCAAAGACCGGGACUUAACUUCGGAAAGGCAGUGGAAACUGAACAGCUAGAGUAUGGUAGGGGCAGAGGGAAUUCCUGGUGUAGCGGUGAAAUGCGCAGAUAUCAGGAGGAACACCGGUGGCGAAGGCGGGUCUCUGGGCCGGUACUGGACGCUGAGGCGCGAAAGCGUGGGGAGCAAACAGG
rnacentral:rRNA from 1 species